GUCUGUUUUUGUGUCAGUACUAUAUCAUUUAUUUUACUAUAUAGCUUUGUGUAGUAGAUCUUGAAAUCUAGGAUUUUAUGUCCAGCUCUGUUCUUUCUCCAGGCUGCUCUGGCUAUUUGAGAUCUCUGUGGUUCCAUACAAAUUUUAGUAUUAUUGUAGUUAUGUGAAAAAUGUUGCUGGUAUUUUGAUAGGGACAGCAUUGGAUCUGUACAUUGCUUUGGAUGAUAAAGGCUUUUUUAAAAAGAUUUAAGUAAUCUCUAUACCCAACAUGGAGCCCAAACCUACAACCCUGAGAUCAGGAGUUGCACACUCCACUGACUGAGCCAGCCAGGCACCCCUGGAUAGCAUGGACAUUUUAACAAAAGUAAUUUUUCUAUUGCAUGAACAUGGAAUAUCACUUUGUGUUGUCUUCAGUUUCUUUCAUCAGUGUUUAUUAGUUUUCAGAGUAUAGGUUUUUCACUACCUUGCUUAGGUUUAUUCCUAGGUAUUUUAUUCAGUAUUUUACUAUUUUAAUUUACCUUACCUGAUUACUAGUGACCUUAACAUAAAAAUAAAAUUUUUUGGUGAUUUACAGAUCCUGUGAUUUUUUUUCCUAUUGGUUUGUCUUAUUGGUUUAUAGGGAAUCUCUAAAUAUUCCACACACUAAUAUUUGUCACUUUGACAGGCUUGCCAAUAUCUUCUCCCUAUCUACCUUAGUCUUUUUUAUAGUGUACUUUUCUAGUAUGAAAGUUUAAGAGAAAUUUUAAUGUUUGCUUAGUUUUGAGAGAGAGAGAGAGACAGAGUAUGAGUAGGGGGAGGGGCAGAAAGAGAGAGAGACACACAAUCUGAAACAGGCUCCAGGCUCCGAGCUGUCAGCACAGAGUCCAACGCAGGGCUAGAACUCACAGACUGCAAGAAAAAGUCGGAUGCUCAACUGACUGAGCCACCCAGGUGCCCCUCUAGUAUGAAAGUUUUUAAAUGUCAUGUUUAUCAAUCUUUCCCUUAUGCUUUGUGUUGGGUCUUUGAAAUAUCGUUUUCUAUUCCAAGAUCACAAAGACAAGCAUAUUACCUUCUAAUUUUUUUUCACAUAGUCUUUAAUAAAAUUAAAACUUAAUUUUAGUUUUGAUCAUGGUGUUGGUUAAAGUUCUGGUUUUCUUCUUUUAGUUCCAACAUCAUUAGGUCAUCCUUUCCCCACUGAUCUGAAAUAAGAUUGGUCAUAUACUAAGUUCCCCUAUACGAACAAGCUAGAAUCAGAAUGGUUUGGUCCAAUAAGCAUCUUUCCUACCCUUAGCACAUAUGUACAUAUACCCCUUUUUCCUCUUCAGAAUUUGCUUGGCUAUUUGUGGCCUUUUACUCUUUAAUCUGGAUUCUAGGAUGAAUGUGUCAAUUUCUAUAGAAAAGCAACAUGUUUGGCUUUAAUUGGAAGAGUAUGUAAGUUACAGAAUAAUUGGGAGAAGAGUUGACAUAUUUAUAGUACUAACCUCCUAUCAUAAACAUGGUAUCUCUCCCUUUAGUUGUUUUUAUGUCCUCCAGUAAAAUCGUAUAAUUUUCAUCACAUAGCUUUUGCAUAGCCUUAUGUUGGCUUUUAAAAUUGGAUUUUUUCUGAGGUACAUUAGUUUUAAUGGAUUUUUUGGAUUGUGGAUGGAUUCUUUUUAAGAAAAUAUUACAUUUCUGGUGAAAAUAAUUUCUACACUCCAGUAGGGUCAUAGAUGAGAAGAUUCUAACCCAGUUUUAUCACAGCAUUGCCUUGGGGCACUUUCUUUUCUUUUUUUUAAUUUUAAUUUAAGUUUUUAAUUUACAUCCAAGUUAGCAUAUAGUGCAACAAUGAUUUCAGGAGUAGAUUCCUUAAUGCUCCUUACCCAUUUAGCCCAUCCCUCCUCCGACAACCCACUUUAUUUUUAUUUUUAAAUUUUAUUUUUUUCUUAAAUAAUCUCUAUGCCCAACUUGCGGCUCAAACUCAACCUCAAGGUCAUUAGUCACCUGCUCUACCAACUGAGCCAGCCAGACACCCCCCACCCUGUUUGGGACACUUUAAACUGUGGGAGGAGGAGUUAUUCAAUACACACCAUGCAUACUCCUGGGGAACCACCACCAGUCUACAAGGAGCAACAUUCAUUCAUUCACUAAAUGCUGACCGUUUCCAUUGUGUUAGGUAAUUGACCACACAGAAGAGACCCCCUCCCUGCCAUCAUGGAGCUUCUUUCCAUUCUAGGAAAGGAACCAGACAUUAAAUAAUCCCCCAGGUAAUACUUAAUAUACUUCUUUCCUACAAAGAGAAGAUACAUACUGCCAUGAAAACAUAAAGGGGGGGGGGGGGAGUGCUUCUUGAAUAGUCUGGGAGAGAUCUGAAAGACAAAUAGGUGUUAAUAGGCCAAAUGGUUGUACAAAGAGCAGGUGCAGAGGCCCAGUGGCAGGAGAGAACAUGACUCAUUUUGAGAAAUCAGAAGAGGAAAUCAGCAUGGCAGAAAACAGUGGGAUGUUGGGGACUGAUGAGAAACGGGCAAGAGCAAGACAAGGGGCUCCUAAUCCCAGUUAAACAUUUUAGUUUUUGUUCUGUGAGAGGUGGGAAGCCACUGAAGGGUGUUAAAGGGAUGACAUGACCAAACUGGCAUUUUUAAGAGAUCCCUUUGGCUUCCAUAUAUAGAAUGAUUUGGACAGGGCAUAGGUUCACAUGAAUGCAUCUGAGAUAUUUGGAAGUAAAACCAAGAGGAGGUGGUGAUGGAUUGGAUAUGGGGAUUGAAGGAGAAAGGCACAGUCAGGGAUGACUCCUAAGCUUCUGAGGAACUGGAUGCCUAGGGUUUGUGGAUGUUGGGAACAAAAGAAAGGUACUCUAAUUGGGAGGAAGAAAACCAUGUUGGGCUCUGAACAUGUUGGGUUAGAUGGAGGUGUCAAGACGUCAAUGAGACAUUCCAGUGGAGAUGUCAGGUAAGCAGCUGCAUACCCCUGGACCUUAGAGGAGAGGUUGGGCUGGAUAUAGCGCCAUGGAAAGCACUGGCAUGUUGGUGGUAAUAGGAGCUGUGGGCGUGAAUGACAUCAAGGUGGGUAGGGAAAAGAGGUGGCAGUGGAGGACUGAGCUUUAAGGAAAACUAGCUUGGACCUAUAGGUGUUGAAACCUACAAAGGAGUCAGAUAUGGAAAACCAGGAGAAUGGGGUGUCCUUGAAGUAGAGAAGAAUGUGUAUUAAGAGAAAGGAAGUGAUGAGUUACCAUCAAAUGUUGCUGGAAGGUCCGGUAAGGUAAGAAUUCACGGAUGUCCAGGGUACCUGUGGUCAGUUGAGUGUCCAGCUCUUGAAUUUGGCUCAAGUCAUGAUCCCACAGAUGUGCGACUGAGCCCCUUGCCAGGCUCUGUGCUGAGCUUGGAGCCUGCUUGAGAUUCUUAAUCUCUUUCUCUCUCUCCCCCCUCCACCUCUGCCCAUUUCCCCCCACUGGCAUGUUCUCUCUCCAAAAAAAAAAAAAAACCCACUUGGACUUAGUCACACUAUUGUCACUGAGGGGUGGGGUGGGUUUCUCUCUAGUUCCUAUUCUUUGAAGGACAUCAACAGGGAAAGACAGGACUGCUAGGACCAGCGAACAGGGUUCCUUGGGUAUGGAGGAAGGUGGAUAUUUGUGUAGGCCUGAAAAAGAGGAGUCCAGAGGUGCAAAGAACCAGCUGGGGCAUGAAGGCUUGGAACCCCAGCCACACUGGAAGCAGUAAAAUUUCAUGCAGUAAGACAUCAAGUUCUAGAAAUGCCAGGCCCCAUGUAAGCAGGUCAGGCUACUGACAGAGGAAACCUUGCACCUCAAGCAAACUGGGGUGUCUGUCAGAGGGUCCAACACAUAGAUAACCAAGCAUAUGACAUCCAUGCUUCAGGUAGGCCCUUCUUUUCUAAUACAGAUCUUUUUUUUUUUUUCAUUGCCUCCCAAGUUUGAGGAAUCUAAUACAGAUCUUUUCAAAAGAAACGUUACAAGCAAUUCUAGUAUGGAAAAUAGAAUCUGUGCAAUUGCUAUUGAGGCAAGGAGGCACUUCCUGCCUUUUUAUGGGAUCCCAAGGACCUGAGGAAUAGAUUUGAAAGCCUUUGGUCUUUCCAGGUUUUCCAGUAUAUUUGGCAAAGGGAGAUUUAGUUUGGGUGGGUUUUGCCCUGGAAUGUCCCUCUGCCAUACUGCCUUGCAAAUAAAAUCAUCAGUUUGUAACUGCUAGUAUAUUUGUUAAGUUCUGGUGGGUACUUGAUUUAAGGAUAGCAUUCCAUUGUAUAGAGAUACCAUUUUAUUCACCUCUUGAUGGACAUUUGGGUUAUUUCCACUUUUUGGUAAUUGGCAAAUUUAUGUACAGGUUUUUGUAUGAACAUAAGAUUUCAUUUCUCUAAGGUAAAUACCUACAAAUGGAAUUUCUGGAUCAUAUGAUUAAGUGUAUGUUUAACUUUAAAUUGCUACAGUUUUUGUGUGACCGGGUUUUCUUUUCUCAAAGGUGAAUAACCAGCAGUGGAAUUUCUGGAUCAUAUGAUUAAGUGUAUGUUUAACUUUAAACAGCUACUAUUUUUCAGAGUGGCUGUAUCAUUUUGCAUUUCCAUCAGCAAUAAGUGACAGUUCGAGUUGCUCUAUAUCCUAGCCAGUACUUGAUGGUGUAUUUUUUUUUUUUUUUAAGCCAUUCUCAUAGGUGUAUAGUGGUAUUUCAUUGUGGCUUUAAUUUGCAUUUGUUAAAAGGCUAAUGAUGUUUUCAUGUACUUAAAUGCCCUCCUUCUAUCCUCUUUGGUGAAGUAUUGGAGUCCUUUGGCCACUUCUCAAUGGAGCUGUUUUAUUACUGUGGAGUGUUUUUCAAGAGUCUUUAGAUAAAGUAAAUACAAGUCUUCUGUGGGAUUGUAUUUGCAAGUAUUUUUUCCCCAGCCUGUGACUCGUCUUUUCAUCCCCUCAAGUGUCUUCCACAGAGAAAAAGGCUUUAAUUUUGAUGAAAUCCAAUUUUUCAUUUUUCUUCUUUUGUAGAGCAUGCUUUUGGCAUCAGGUCUGAGAAGUCUCCCUAUCCCUGGUCAUGAAGAUUGUCUUCUGUUUUCUCCUAGUGUUUGGUUUUAUGUUUUACAUUUAGAUAUGUGAUCCAUUUUGGAUUCUUACAUAAAAUGUGAGGUUUAAAAUGUUUUUCAUGCUAGUUUUUUCAUCAUUUGUUUGAAAAGACUGUCCUUUCUCCAUUGAAUUGCUUUUCCAUAUUUGUCAUAAAUUGACUGGCCAUGUUUAUGUGGGUCUGUUACUGUCCUCUCUCCUGUUCCCUUGAUCUUUGUGUCAUUCCCUUUGCCAAUACCCUGUCUUGACUACUGUAGCUUGAUAUUCAACCUUAAGAUAGUCUAACUCCUCCAACUUUGUCAAAAUUGUUUUAGUUAUUCUAGUUCUUUGGCCUUUCUACAAAUUUUAGAAUCAGUUUAAAAAAGGUGUGAUGGGAUUUUUUUUUUUUUUUUUUUAUUACAAUUGCAUUAAAUCUUUAGAUCGUUACAGGGCCUGAUGAGUAUUUAAAUGAGAUUGCAUGGGGUGGCUUGGGUAGCUAAGUGUGUGACUCUUGAUUUCACUUGAGGUCAUGAUCUCACACAGUUUGAUAGAUGGAGGCCCACAUCCAACUCUUGUGCUCACAGCUUGGAGCCUGCUUGGGAUUCUCUCUCUCAAAAUAAACUUUAAAAAAAAAUUUUAAAGGAUAUUGCUUGCUCUUAGGUGCUAUAUAACCUUUAAUGACAUAAGGCAGCCUCGUCCUUCAUUAGCUGUGUGGUGAUUAUUCCAGAGUUAAAGCCCUGGGUUAUGAUUGAUUAUAGUAGUGUCUUCUGAAGGCAGUAAAUGAGGUGUGGUCUACAUAAUAGUGGAUAGGAAUGGCUAGGAAAAGACAACCAGAACAUUGAAGGGCUUGGGCAGGUCAGCCAUCAUCAUUCACAACUUGAUCUUUGUAGACCUCUUCCCCUGUUCAUGCCCAUGGUUCUCCUGGUCUGUGGCAGUGGUACAGACUUUUAGUGGAAGAGUGGGGUGCCAAGGAAUCGGCUGUUGCUUGUGUUGUCAUCCUGUUUACUCCUUCCCAUUAGAGACCUUCAGUCCCCUCCCCAGUUUCUUGGCUGUCUUCAGAAAAAAGAAAAACUCAGGCUUCCCAACUCCUAGUCUUUUAAAUGUGUACAUCCUUUCCUCCUUGACCAUCGUUUCAUAUUGUUUCAUAUCCUGUUCUUCUGUGGACCUUUGUGUCUCCAUUGUCUUAAUGACAGCCACAGACUCCUCCUAUCUAACAGGCAAAUGCUCAAAUGUACUAAUGAAAUGUUUCCAAAUAUUGCACCCUCUCUGGUCUCUGAGGGGUCUUAACAGCUGAGGUGUUAGUGUUCUGCCUCCCUAGUCCCCGGGCAUAUACACAGCCCCUUGCCUCUUCUCUGGCCAUUUCCCCUUUUCUUUGAGCAGCUGUGCUUUGCAGUGACUGCCAGUGUCCCUGCUUUUGUCUUCCUGUGAUGACUUAGGGACACACACACACACACACACACACACAUCCCAAUGUGAAUGUGGAUUGGUUGGAGGAGCCCCUGCUUGCACAGAGACCCAGAAUAAGAAAACCUAGAUUUCCGGUGAUUUCUUACAUAGGACGUCAUCUUAUUGUGGCUCCUACGUAAGUCCUCUUCCCUCUUUAGCUUGAUGCCAGGCCCUGGGCCAAGCACUUUAUUUGCUUAUGUUUUUGUCAGAAAACCUAGACUCUUAGAUACUACUGCCCCCUCCCUCAUUUUGCAAGUGAGAAGACUGGGACGCAGAGAACACAACCAGUCAGCGGCAGCUUCAGGAUUGGAACUUGGUCACUGCCCCUCUGGAACCCAUGUACACAGCCACUGUCCUUAGAGAACAGUCAUCUCUCCUUGCCCACCCCUUGGAAGCACCUCCCUCUGCGCCAGCACACCCGCUUGCUGCUUGCCUGCCUGGGGAAUGCAAACUCAAGUGUGAAGAAGGUCCCUGAAAUUCACUCUGCCUCCUAGUCAGUCAACUGCUGACCACGUCGUUCUGAAGUAGUGGACUCGACUAUCUUGGGGACACACUCUGGAACAGGGCAAGGACUAGAUCUUGCUCUCCCAACACAGACUGUGGAUUUUUGAGGGAGAGCAAGGCCCAAACAAAGGCCUUUCACCCCUCCAUACACAGCCACAUUUCAGGUCACUUGGAGCCAGGCUUCCUAUCUGAUUUGAAGUGAGCCUGAUACGCAAAGGAGGCAGGAAGGCCGGGGGAGAGGCCAUGACCUGCCUUUCAUUCAUUCUGUGACCUCAGUCAAGUUACUUCCCUUCUUUGAGCUCAGCAUUCUUUUGCCACAAAAUAACUGGCCAACCUGAUCCCCAAGGAUCAGUGGCCCCAGCAGGUCCAGCCCAAGGAUAAGGCCACAGGAGGUGGUGGCACUGCAGUCCUACUUGUCAGACGGGCACAAUGUGUCCAAAUGUGGUUGUUUUUGUGGUUUAUGGAAAAAAAAUUUAUCAGGUCUGUGGUUUAUGCGACUGAUAGGGAGGUGGACAGGGCUAGCAUGUUGGCCUGGUGACUGAGCCACAGGGGGUUGGGGGCUUGGAGGACUGGGGCUCCUUAGACCCUUGUCACUCAGAAGGUUCCAUCUUGGUUUUGUCUAGCCACUGCUUCCUUCACAGGAUGGUGGCAAGUGCACUUCUGAGAUCUCCAAACACCCGCCUUCAUGGAGGUCAGCAGGCUCUCUCACCUUGUUGUACCAAUCCACAUACACACCUGGCACUCGAUGCCUAAAGAAUGAUGGAUGAUGGGCUUCAUGGGCACUUGGAUGGCAGUCAGUAGCUACAUGGGUGGGUGGGUGAACUGGUUGCAGUUGUCUCCCAUACCAAAGCACCUGGCGUGGGUAUCCUGGAAGACUUAAUUUCACAGACAGGGCUGCCAGAACUAGAGGCACAGGAGGAGGAGGAGGCGUGAGAAGCAGAGUGGGCCGAGAGGCCUGGGGACGUCAUGAGCUUAGCCCCGCAAAGACAGCUGCUAUUGCAGAGCCUAAGCCAGGUCUGGCCGUACCAGACCCACAUCCUGCCUGUGGAGGAAGACGAAAGUAGGCAUUUUCCCAACCUUUCCUGCUUUUAACCUUGACACGCCAAUGAAAACUGUACCCCCUCAUUUGCCUUCACCAUUUCUAAUCACCCUUCACCCAUCACCAUUCCCCUCAGCAUAUGUACCUGGGCUCUGAGAGCAGGUGGCACAGUGGUAGUGCCUUUGAGACAUCUUUUCUCACCCGUGCAUACCUGUGUGCCAAGUAAUAAAUAAUCUUGCUGCACAUGCACAUCCAAGGAUAGGUGAAAUGAGUCCUCAACAAAUUGUGUGCUUUCCUCUCUACUGCUUACAAGGAAUAGGAUCCAUCCCUAUGGCUAUCUUGAGAUUUUUGCUCAUUGCUAAAUUGCUUAAAGAUUUUGGUGUGAGCAGUAGGAGGGCUCUUCUGGCAUCGUCUGAUACCUCCUGGGAGACUGGCUGCCUUCCGUUGGUCUAGAUUCUCAAGAUUGGGCAAGGGCAGCUGAGUACAGACUACAGGCUUCCUGCCUCUGGCAAAGCCACCAUCUCUGCUGAGGGCACUUCCUGGGAGCUCCAGUGGCCAUGGUAGUCUCAGUGGUUGAGGAGCAGUCCUGGGUGUCCAUCAGUGAUGUGGGCUGUGAGGCCAGGGGGCAGCCUCCUAGUUGCUGGAGUGUUAAAAGGCCCAGACAUGAGAACUCUCUGGGAGACCCCAGUCUUUUUGUUUGCUUCUCCUUAAGAUCUCUCCCAGGUUGGGACUGUUUACAGAUGCACACACAAAAAGGGAGGGCCUAAUAAGACUGUAUCACCAAUUCAAAGCGCUUGAUUAAUCAUUUAAAAUGUCUGGGCUGUGCCAAGUGAAGGUUUCAAAUUCCAGGACGGGUGAUUGAGGAAUUGGAGCCUUUAGCUGAGAAGGCCUCUGCUCAAAUUUCUUGCAGGUCUUCUCUGCCCUGGCCCUUCUGCCUGGCGCUCCACAUGCCCACUGCUGCCCAGAAGUAGGUUUCUGAGUAGCACGUGAGUGGCCCCACGAGGCUUGUACAAUACAGUAGUCCCAAACUUGGGACUGCUGGUUGGCGAGUCUGGUGACUCUGGAAAAGACCCCAGGGCUUGGUGGGCAGGUUGUUGGACAUGGGGGGCUGCAGGCAUGCUUCCAAGUGUCUUCCAUCUGUCUUCAACUGCUUCCGGCACCGAGUCAAGAAAGGUUGGUGGGAGACUUUCCUAGAAGCUACUCAGCUCCUUCCAAAGACACCCUGCACCCAAGACUAAUCUAGGCCUUUCUGAUGUAUUCUGGGUCUUGGGGUCACACCUGUGUGCAUGUACACCCCUCCCUGCACAUUCCACCAACCCCCUUCACUACCAUCAAGCACACAGCACUUCUGCACUUGGAUUCAGGUGGCAAAGCUCUGAGUAGCUGCUCCUCAUUGAGGGUCAUUGCCAAAGGGCUAUCUGGGAGUAAGAGAAGCUGGUGAGGGGAACCCCUAGGGCUAGGGCAGAGGUAGGAGUUUGGUGGCACUGGCAGGGAGAUACCACAUGCAAGUGGGGAGGGUUGGCCUUUUGGCUGAGGUGAAUAUAAGCCAGUCCAUAAGGCUCUGCCUGCAUCCAUCAGAAAAAGGUAGAGCCCAGCCCCUGGCCCCAGGCUGGUCCCAGGGCAGGCAUAUGAUCUGUAAGAAGCAGCUCAAUCUGAGCGGCACCUACAGGCACCAGAACCUGCCUCCCAACCUGAGCAGACUGCUGAACUGCCUGGAAGGGCAAUGUUCCAGUUGGUCCAGGAGUUGCAGAGACGGUACAGUUUCUCUGUACUGUUCCUCCAGCUUCCUGUAAUGUUUAACAUCUUGUGUAACCAUGGUGCUGCCCCCUUUUUAUACCCUGCUUGCCAGUAGAGGCCAGUUGCCAGGGGGGUAUGAACACCUGUGUUGGAAUCGUCUUUGACACAGCUCCUGCCUGGUGACCAGCACUGUCAGUGAUGCUUCAAUGCACACAAGUCCCCUGGCUUCAAGUACCCCGGGAGUUGGGUAGAGUGGGCUGCAUAGUAGCUGGCCAGUCAUCCGGGGCAGUGUAGGAGCUCCCGGGCAGAUGGAUCCACUGAGGGGCAGAGUAGGGGAAGAGCAGUAAGGCCCCCUGGGUGGGGUGGGGUGGUCCUGGGGCUGACUGGGCCAUGCUGCUCAGUGCAGGAGGCAGCCUCUGGACAUGCAGGACCUCACACCUGCCAUGUAGGUAGGGCAUCUAGGAAGAUACAGUUGUAUGCCAUUCCUGGACCACAUCGGGGAGAGGUGCCAGGAGGAACUGUGAGGCCUCAAGGGCUUUCUCCUGGGCCACUCCAACCUCUAGACCUACUCUCCACACCCUCUUCCUCCCCCUACUUUUCCAAUAGUUUGGGGUCAGAGGUUCUGUCAUCAGCUAAUGGCAAAGAGAAGGUCAAAAGGGCUUUGGAAGACUUGGUAAUCCAGGGAAUAACUGACAGGGAUUCUAACGUAUGCACCAGCACCAACUGCCCCACCUGAAGUUGACACAGCCUUUUGGUUUGAAGUGUUCUGUCCUGUAGCCAGAUUGAUUUCUUCCCUCUAUAAACACUUGUAUGUGGUGGAAGACCAAAGACGGGAUGACCUGGGCCCAUCCACCUGCCUCACAGCCUGCUGGACUGCACUCUGUUGCUGCUGUCUCUGGGACAUGCUCACUUGACCUGACCAGCCCUCCGGUCCUGCCAGCUCUGCCACCGCCUUCAACAGGUGUGCCUGCCCCAUCUCUUCUGAUUGCUGAAAUAAAUGAAAAUGACUAGCUCUGCACA